ACUGGAUGGAGGGGAGGGGAUAUGGCAAUAGUGUAGAAGUGUCAAGAUGUGAAAAUUGCUCAACUGAGAACGCACGCGGGGGCUCGCGGCCCAACAGCCUGCACCACACUCAGGAGCCUGGGCCUGGGCCUGGGGGUGGGGUGGGGGGGACAGGCGUCCCCCCCACCCCAACCCCACCCCUAUCCCUGCCCGGCUGUCUAAACGGACCUAAAUGCUAACCUGCUGUUGCCUUGACUCCAGAGACACGAAACUGAAGCUAGCCCUCGCCCCUCUCUGGGAUCCCGCGCUGCGCUGCGGGUAGCUGCCCGCAGGGAGGCCCAACCUGCCGCGGCUGGAGCACGGUUUCUGCUAGCCGCCGCCGUCAACUUGAACUUCAGUGAGCCUAGGCCGGCUUCCUUCGCGCUCACCUCCAUCCACCACCUAAGAAGUCCCCUCAGCGCGAGCGUCGCUUUAUCCGGAGGCAGCUGGAGCCCCCUCGGGAGGCCCGUCAUUAUUAUUAUUAAUUAUCGUGAUCCUUACUGCAUUAUUAAUGCCCAGGAUGAUAACCGGCAUCGGUAUCAGCUUUCCCUGGUUCAGUGAUAUCCCACGAAGUUCGGGGCGGGGAGGAAGUCACUCCAGGAUCAGAGGCCGCGUCGGUUCUGCUUGGGGCAUGGGCAGAGGGAGGCUGCUGGGGCCAAGCCCCGGCUGGACGCGAGGGAAGAAACUCGUCCCAGGACCCGCACGCCCAUACCUGGCUGUCCCAGAGCUCUUCCCUAGGCCGGCACCUUCGCUCUUCCUCUUCCCCACCCCCUAGCCCUUUUGUCUCUUUUUCAGACGGAUGUUUUCAGUCUCAAGUGGUUUUAUUUUCCGCACAAAACCCUGAGAUCAAGGGCAGAUCACAGACUGUACCGGAGGCUCGGGUUUCCCUGGACUCUGUGCUGUUCUGCGUCCCAGGGUUGGCUAGGAAGGAAGGCCUGGGCCGGCGAGGUGACGGGUCUCCCGCCCAGGUCGGCAGGACGGGGGGAGGUGUGUCCCGGUAGGUCCCUGGUGAGCUCACCCGUGGCAUCGGGGACCCGCGGGAACCCACCGGGCGCCCACUAGAGACUCGGGUCCUACCCUCCCCCACACUACUCCACCGAAAUGAUCGGAAGGGCGCGCUAGGCCUGCUUCCAAGGGCUCAGUGAUAAAGGCCUCAAAAUCACACUCCAUCAAGACUUGGUUGAAGCUUUGGGAGCCGACGAGCUUUUGAAGAGGUGACACCUCGCUUCGCCUUCUCCUGCUCUAGGCCCUGCCCUCGUCCAGCAUCCCUCCUGCCCCACGAAGCGAGAGGAUGCUCAGCGCAGCUGCCAGGCAGAGAGUGUGUGGGGAGGUCCCUUGCCUUUGCGCGCGCGCACACACACAGACACGCACACACACAGACACACAUACACACAACACACUCACACCAUAUGCUCACACACCCUCACCUCCUUCAGCUUCCGCACCUCCCAGCCACAGGCUCGCGUGAGUGGGAAGGACCUGAGGCCGCAGAAAUGUGGGUUAGCGUGGGCAGCAGGAGAUGCUCCCCGCACCCCUCCUCCCAUUCCUACCUCCCCCAGCCCUUUCUAGCGCCUCUUGGAGGGGACCGGGCCUGCCCUGCGCUCUCAACCUAAUUCGGCCUCGGAGGGUCCUCCCCCACCCAGGGCGGCACUCCCCAGGCCGGCACUCGCGCCACUGGCGUGGGACUAAGGCUCCCUGCAGUUGGGUCUCCCAAGCCCACUUCCAGGGGCUGAGAGAGGCCAGGCUGCCUUGCCUGCCCGCGCGCCCUCCAGCCCUCGGGUGUAGGGAGGGGAGCGCCCCCUCACCUCCAAGGAAAUCUGGAGUAAGGGAAGAGCUGCCUGGCCCCCGCGUCCCCUGAACCUGGCCUCAACCUCUGCCUUUCCCAACCUCCCGGGCUAGGUUUAUCUCUGUCCUAAAGGCCAAGCCGGUGGCCCUGGGGAGCAGAAGGGAGCUCAGAGCUGCUGGAGAAGGUGGGGGGUAGAAAUAAUAAUAAUGUCAGAGAUAAUCAUCGCAGUUAACGCUCAGCGACUGGGCUGCUCCGCGGAGGCCGGCGGAGGCCUACAGAGGCUCCUGACUGGCAGAACUGGAGGUGUGGGUGUGGUUCCCUUUUCACCCCGGCUCUUAUGUUGCCAGUCUCCCCCCUACCACCAGGCAAAGCCCCCCUAAACUUAGGGUCUGGAACAAGGCCGAGCCAGCGAGGGCCUGCCAGGAGCUGCGCUGGAGCCUCUCGCUGCAUCCAGAGCUGGUUCUUGUUCUUUUCUCUCUCUUGGCCCACUGGGCCCACAGUGGUUAGGUGGCCGAGUGUGGUUUCCCGAAACUCUUUGGAGUCGCCUGGGUCUGCGUGCCCCUGGCCCCGUCCUCACCCCCGGGCUCGUCCCCCAGCCUCCGCCGGCCCGCCUGUGAAUGGUGGAUUUAAUGAGCGUUUGUGUGGCGUUGGCCGGCGGUUCUGAAGAUGCGCUGACCUGGAGGGAGGGCGCGAAAGGUCAGGCGCAUGCCGGGCCCAACUUGGGCUCCUCCCAGGCCCACGCUGCUCCGAUAUUGAUCCUGGGAGAAAGAUAAACAGAAAAGCUGGACAUUCAGUCAUGAAUACUAAUGAGCCAGGGUAGGGGUUUUAAUUGCUGUGGACUUCCUUUCUCCAGUUAAUCCUUAUUGCAAACUUCGCUGGAGUCAGCUUUCUCGGGCCUCCCGCCUCCUUGUAUUUUCCUGUGAAAUACCCAGGCGAAAGAGACCCGUGACAACUUGACUUUCUCCUCUUCGAGAGGCCCGUGUGAGCUCGAGAGCCCACAGCCCGUGUUUCCAGUGUGACUCUGUUUACUAAUUAUGGAAAUAUAGGGAUCCUAUAAAAUAAAUUGUUUCAAUAUGGCUUUGGCGAGUCUGCUUCUUGACUUCUUCACCCUUAUUGUUUCAAAGACUUCGUGUGUCCUUGGCCUUUAAACUUCCUCUUGACAAUUUCAUCUUUUCUCCCGCCACGGAGCUCCUUUCUACUCCAAACGGUGCAUUUUUUCCCCAAAUGUUC
rnacentral:lncRNA from 10 species